AUGAACGCUAGCUACAGGCUUAACACAUGCAAGUCGAGGGGCAGCAUUUUAGUUUGCUUGCAAACUAAAGAUGGCGACCGGCGCACGGGUGAGUAACACGUAUCCAACCUGCCGAUAACUCGGGGAUAGCCUUUCGAAAGAAAGAUUAAUAUCCGAUAGUAUAUUAAAACCGCAUGGUUUUACUAUUAAAGAAUUUCGGUUAUCGAUGGGGAUGCGUUCCAUUAGUUUGUUGGCGGGGUAACGGCCCACCAAGACUACGAUGGAUAGGGGUUCUGAGAGGAAGGUCCCCCACAUUGGAACUGAGACACGGUCCAAACUCCUACGGGAGGCAGCAGUGAGGAAUAUUGGUCAAUGGACGAGAGUCUGAACCAGCCAAGUAGCGUGAAGGAUGACUGCCCUAUGGGUUGUAAACUUCUUUUAUAUGGGAAUAAAGUAUUCCACGUGUGGGAUUUUGUAUGUACCAUAUGAAUAAGGAUCGGCUAACUCCGUGCCAGCAGCCGCGGUAAUACGGAGGAUCCGAGCGUUAUCCGGAUUUAUUGGGUUUAAAGGGAGCGUAGGUGGAUUGUUAAGUCAGUUGUGAAAGUUUGCGGCUCAACCGUAAAAUUGCAGUUGAAACUGGCAGUCUUGAGUACAGUAGAGGUGGGCGGAAUUCGUGGUGUAGCGGUGAAAUGCUUAGAUAUCACGAAGAACUCCGAUUGCGAAGGCAGCUCACUAGACUGCAACUGACACUGAGGCUCGAAAGUGUGGGUAUCAAACAGGAUUAGAUACCCUGGUAGUCCACACAGUAAACGAUGAAUACUCGCUGUUUGCGAUAUACAGUAAGCGGCCAAGCGAAAGCGUUAAGUAUUCCACCUGGGGAGUACGCCGGCAACGGUGAAACUCAAAGGAAUUGACGGGGGCCCGCACAAGCGGAGGAACAUGUGGUUUAAUUCGAUGAUACGCGAGGAACCUUACCCGGGCUUAAAUUGCAUUUGAAUAAUCUGGAAACAGGUUAGCCGCAAGGCAAAUGUGAAGGUGCUGCAUGGUUGUCGUCAGCUCGUGCCGUGAGGUGUCGGCUUAAGUGCCAUAACGAGCGCAACCCUUAUCUUUAGUUACUAACAGGUCAUGCUGAGGACUCUAGAGAGACUGCCGUCGUAAGAUGUGAGGAAGGUGGGGAUGACGUCAAAUCAGCACGGCCCUUACGUCCGGGGCUACACACGUGUUACAAUGGGGGGUACAGAAGGCAGCUACCUGGCGACAGGAUGCUAAUCCCAAAAACCUCUCUCAGUUCGGAUCGAAGUCUGCAACCCGACUUCGUGAAGCUGGAUUCGCUAGUAAUCGCGCAUCAGCCAUGGCGCGGUGAAUACGUUCCCGGGCCUUGUACACACCGCCCGUCAAGCCAUGAAAGCCGGGGGUACCUGAAGUACGUAACCGCAAGGAGCGUCCUAGGGUAAAACUGGUAAUUGGGGCU
rnacentral:rRNA from 1 species